CACGAGCACGAUAAAUGCAGAGCAAGAUAAUACCGAUCUAAAUCGUACAUUCGUGUAUGAAUAACAAUAAAUUAUUGACCCGUCAAAUAGCCAUUGCUCAUGCGAAUCGUUUCAUGCGAAUUAAUGGAGAAAUGAAAGCCUGGACAGAGCUCGACUCUGACUCUACUGAUUGUGACGUGGUACGAUAACGGAAACUUAAACAGUGAAUUAUUGCAAAGGGCAGAGCGCCAUGGGGGUGAAGCUAGUAUUAGGUAAUAGGAAACAAUAUGGCGGCCGGGCCAGGCAAUAUCGGGAGUGCGUGCGCAGGCGCAGCUCAAUGAUUCAGCAAGAUGCGCAAACAACGAAUAAUCGAAUCGCCAUUUUUGCCGGUCGUGGCAUCCACGAGUUCACGCAGUUCACGGUGCUUUCAAAGCGCUCGACGAUUUGGGAAAGUCCAGGGUACUUUCAAAGAACAAGAGACGCCCACAAUCUAGCGUCUCCGGAAUCUUCGCGUAAUUAGGUGCGUGUUACGCAAGUGCAAUCGUGUUGGCAUUACUUAUAAUAAAUAAGAGAUAAUUGCAAAAAUUAAUCAGUACGGCUAUUUCGAUCAAGUUCAUGAAUGUUUGGAGACAACACCAAUC